rnacentral:lncRNA from 1 species
ACUCACUUCAGGAAAAGCCAGUUGCCAUGAAGACACUCAAAGAGAUCUAUAGAGAGGACCAUGUGGUAGGAAACUGAGAUCUCCUCCUUCUGAAUUAAUAGCCAUUAUGUCAAGAACAUAGCAACAUUUCUAGGCUGUAUUUGGAGUACAGAGCUGGAAAAUGUAUAUCAUACUGACAUCAUCAUCAUUCUUACAAAAUAAUAUUAAAAAUAAACUAUUUG